UCUUCCUACGGGAGGCAGCAGUGAGGAAUAUUGGUCAAUGGUCGGGAGACUGAACCAGCCAAGCCGCGUGAGGGGGGAAGGUACAGAGUAUCGUAAACCUCUUUUGUCAGGGAACAAAGGCGGGGACGUGCCCCCGGAUGAGUGUACCUGAAGAAAAAGCACCGGCUAACUCCGUGCCAGCAGCCGCGGUAAUACGGAGGAUGCGAGCGUUAUCCGGAUUUAUUGGGUUUAAAGGGUGCGCAGGCGGUCUGUUAAGUCAGCGGUCAAAGCCCGGGGCUCAACCCCGGCCCGCCGUUGAAACUGGG
rnacentral:rRNA from 1 species